UCUCCCUCCUCUGCCCGCCAAACCAAUGAAGGUAGUUGGGCUACCUUUCUUCUCCUUCCUUCGUUUUUUUCUUCUCUUUUCUUGCAUGAAAAUUGAUAAAACUAAUAUUUGUUAGUUAUUAAAGAGUGGGUAGCAAGAUAUUUGCAUAAAAAACUUGGGAACUUAGAGAAUCGGAGAAAAACUUCUAGUAAGGUGCAGCUUGGCGUAAAAUUUAGUUGGAAAAAGAGGAGUCGACCAAACCCUUGUUGUAAGACCCUCGUGGAUCGUGUAGGUAGGUCGUGGUGGGGUUCAAUGAUGGCGGUUCUUUGGCUUAAUGUACAUGUUAUGUGAUGAAAAAAUGUAAGUUAAGUAAUAUUUUGGAUUUGUGAUUAGCUGGCUAGUGGAUAUAGGCAAGUAAUAUAUUUUGGAAGAAGGAAAUUGUAAGUCCUUUAUUAACUGUGUUGUUGUGGUCAAGUACCUUAAACUUAUAUUUUUUUUUGUAAUGACUUAAAGGACGGUUUUCUGGCGUAUUAGUCCGCUAAUCUAGGGUUAGACUUCCGCUGCUUAGUUAAUAAAU